rnacentral:rRNA from 1 species
UCUAUACAUGACUCUGCGCAUAUCAAUAAGCGGAGGAAAAGAAACUAACUAGGAUUCCCCUAGUAACGGCGAGUGAAGCGGGAAGAGCUCAAAUUUGAAAUCUUCAAGGUUUUACCUUGACGAAUUGUAGUUUAAAGAAGUGUUUUCUGUUAGAGAGGUGGUAAAAGUUCUUUGGAAUAGGACAUCAUAGAGGGUGAGAAUCCCGUAUUUGAUCACUUUCUACUAACGUUGUGAUACACUUUCAAAGAGUCGGAUUGUUUGGGAAUGCAGUCCAAAAUGGGUGGUAAAUUUCAUCUAAAGCUAAAUAUUGGCGAGAGACCGAUAGCGAACAAGUACCGUGAGGGAAAGAUGAAAAGAACUUUGAAAAGAGAGUUAAACAGUACGUGAAAUUGUCAAAAGGGAAGCGUUUGACACCAGUGUUGUUUUUCCGAAAAUCAAUUAUGAAUGGCUUGAUUUUAAGUUUCAUGACCUUAAAAGCUUGUUGCUUAUUUUCCUUGUCUUUCUUAAUGCACUUUUCGGUUAACAAGUCAACAUCAAUUUCUUUUGUUGUAAAAGGUUAUGAGGAAGGUGGCUUUACUUUCGGGAGAAAGUGUUUAUAGCCUUGUAGCCUCUGCAAUCGGAGAGAUUGAGGUCUGCAGCGUAGAUCCUUCGGGGUUAGAUACGUUUGUGCUAAGUUAUAGCUUUUCAUAGACAACUUGUUGACUAUGUUUAGUCUUGUGACUUACUCGCUUACGCUAUUUUACCUACGCUUAGGAUGUUGAUAUGCAUGACUGAUAU